rnacentral:rRNA from 1 species
GAUGAACGCUGGCGGCGUGCCUAAUACAUGCAAGUCGAGCGAACGGACGAGAAGCUUGCUUCUCUGAUGUUAGCGGCGGACGGGUGAGUAACACGUGAAUAACCUACCUAUAAGACUGGGAUAACUUCGGGAAACCGUAGCUAAUACCGGAUAAUAUUUUGAACCGCAUGGUUCAAAAGUGAAAGACGGUCUUGCUGUCACUUAUAGAUGGAUCCGCGCUGCAUUAGCUAGUUGGUAAGGUAACGGCUUACCAAGGCAACGAUGCAUAGCCGACCUGAGAGGGUGAUCAGCCACACUGGAACCGAGACACGGUCCAGACUCCUACGGGAGGCAGCAGUAGGGAAUCUUCCGCAAUGGGCGAAAGCCUGACGGAGCAACGCCGCGUGAGUGAUGAAGGUCUUCGGAUCGUAAAACUCUGUUAUUAGGGAAGAACAUAUGUGUAAGUAACUGUGCACAUCUUGACGGUACCUAAUCAGAAAGCCACGGCUAACUACGUG